AAUGAACGCUAGCGGCGUGUUUAAGACAUGCAAGUUGAACGGAGAGUAUUGAGCUUGCUUAUAUACUCUUAGUGGCGGACGGGUGAGUAACACGUGAAUUACCUACCAUAAAGUGGAGGACAGUCCUGGGAAACUGGGUUUAAUACUCCAUGUGCUUAUAAGUAAAGGAGCCUUCGGGUUUCGCUUUAUGAUGGGUUCGCGAUCUAUCAGCUAGUUGGAGAGGUAAAGGCUCCCCAAGGCGACGACGGAUAGCUGGUCUUAGAGGAUGAUCAGUCACACUGGAACUGAGACACGGUCCAGACACCUACGGGUGGCAGCAGUCGAGAAUAAUUCACAAUGGACGAAAGUCUGAUGGUGCAACGCCGCGUGGAGGAUGACGGUUUUCGGAUUGUAAACUCCUGUCAUCAGGGAGUAAGACUUAGUAGUUAAUACCUGCUAAGUUUGAGAGUACCUGAAGAGGAAGGGACGGCUAACUUCG
rnacentral:rRNA from 1 species